UACGUAGGGUGCGAGCGUUGUCCGGAAUUAUUGGGCGUAAAGAGCUCGUAGGCGGUCUGUCGCGUCGGAUGUGAAAGCCCGGGGCUUAACCCCGGGUCUGCAUUCGAUACGGGCAGACUAGAGUGUGGUAGGGGAGAUCGGAAUUCCUGGUGUAGCGGUGAAAUGCGCAGAUAUCAGGAGGAACACCGGUGGCGAAGGCGGAUCUCUGGGCCAUUACUGACGCUGAGGAGCGAAAGCGUGGGGAGUGAACAGG
rnacentral:rRNA from 1 species